CUUCUUCUUCUUCGUUCUUCCUUAGAGAGAAAUAAAAACUUCCCUUCUUCUUCUUCUUCUACGUACAUACAGAGAUCACUGUGAAUUCCGAUGAAGAUGAUGAUCCAUCCAAGUAGAGAGAGAGACAUAUUGAAAUCAAAGCAAACCGAGGCGAUAUGAUGAUUGGUGAUCCGUAAGGUCUAAAUCAAUAUCGAUUCAGCGAAGAGUAAAGGCGAAAUUCCAAACUCAAAAGUGAAAGGGAGAAAUCGAGCCGUCUAUUGAUUUGAAUGGUAUUUUGUAAAAGUCCUCUGUUUUUGUUGAUUUGAAUGGUGUAAUUAGAGAUGAUGGUGUUUAGUGUCUGAGAAUGAUGAGUACCUAAUUGUAAAAUUUUGUUUAUUUGUACAAAUUAAAUCCCAUACUUUGUUGUAGAUAAGCCCUAUAUAGGAAGUGGUUUGGUUGGAUGCAUGGUAGAGUUGCAACCAUGUUUGUUGUACUUGUUUUUCUAAUCAUGACCAGGUACUUGACUAAUGGUAUUAUGCUCCUGAGAGAAGCAAUGCUCGUCAAAAAUCUGAGAUCAAAGAACAUCAGAGAAGAAUCCGUAGGCAAAGGC